rnacentral:misc_RNA from 1 species
GAUGAAGAACUCAGCGAAAUGCGAUAAGUAAUGUGAAUUGCAGAAUUCAGUGAAUCAUCGAAUCUUUGAACGCACCUUGCGCCUUUUGGUAUUCCGAAAGGCACACCUGUUUGAGCGUCAUGAAUACCUCAAUCUCCAUCUUUUCUUCGGAUUGAUGGGUGACUUGGAUGUUGAGCCCUGCUGGUAUGCUAUAUCAGCUGGCUUUAAACUUAUUAGCCGGCUCUGUACUGGAUCGGUUUGACUCGACGUGAUAAUAUUAUCGUUGAGGAUGCAUGUCUCAUGCAGCCGGAAAGUAUCAAAGCAGCUUCUAGCUUGCCGUUAGUGCACUUUUACAUUUUAGACCUCAGAUCAGGUGGGACUACCCGCUGAACUUAAGCAUAUCAAUAAGCGGAGGA